rnacentral:rRNA from 1 species
GGGUGUAUAUUGCACAAUGGGCGCAAGCCUGAUGCAGCCAUGCCGCGUGUAUGAAGAAGGCCUUCGGGUUGUAAAGUACUUUCAGCGAGGAGGAAGGCGUUGUGGUUAAUAACCGCAGCGAUUGACGUUACUCGCAGAAGAAGCACCGGCUAACUCCGUGCCAGCAGCCGCGGUAAUA